UACGUAGGGGGCUAGCGUUGUCCGGAAUCAUUGGGCGUAAAGCGCGCGUAGGCGGCCCAGUAAGUCCGUUGUAAAAGUCAAAGGCUCAACCUUUGAAAGCCGAUGGAUACUGCUGGGCUAGAGUCCGGAAGAGGCGAGUGGAAUUCCUGGUGUAGCGGUGGAAUGCGCAGAUAUCAGGAUGAACACCGAUAGCGAAGGCAGCUCGCUGGGACGGUACUGACGCUGAGGCGCGAAAGCGUGGGGAGCGAACAGG
rnacentral:rRNA from 1 species